UGAGGGAAUAUUGGUCAAUGGGCGCAAGCCUGAACCAGCCAAGUAGCGUGCAGGAAGACGGCCCUAUGGGUUGUAAACUGCUUUUAUACGAGAAUAAAUUGAUGCACGUGUGCGUCAUUGCAUGUAUCGUAUGAAUAAGGACCGGCUAAUUCCGUGCCAGCAGCCGCGGUAAUACGGAAGGUCCAGGCGUUAUCCGGAUUUAUUGGGUUUAAAGGGAGUGUAGGCGGUUUGUUAAGCGUGUUGUGAAAUUUAGGUGCUCAACAUUUAACUUGCAGCGCGAACUGUCAGACUUGAGUACACGCAACGUAUGCGGAAUUCAUGGUGUAGCGGUGAAAUGCUUAGAUAUCAUGAAGAACUCCGAUUGCGAAGGCAGCAUACGGGAGUGUAACUGACGCUUAAGCUCGAAGGUGCGGGUAUCGAACAGGAUUAAAUACCCUGGUAGUCCGCACAGUAAACGAUGGAUGCCCGCUGUUAGCGCCUGGCGUUAGCGGCUAAGCGAAAGCAUUAAGCAUCCCACCUGGGGAGUACGCGGGCACGGUG
rnacentral:rRNA from 1 species